rnacentral:lncRNA from 1 species
ACACAAUAUCCUAUCUACUAUGUAAGUAAAAGUCUACUUGAUGCCGAAUCCAGGUACUCACACCUCGAAAAACUUAUUCUUGCAUUAAUCAUGGCAUCAACUAAGUUAAGGCAUUAUUUUGAAACCCAUACUAUUGUUGUUAGAACUAACUUUCCAAUUAAGAAUGUCCUCAGGAAACCAGAGAUGUCAGGAAGAAUGGCUAAGUGGGCAGUAAAGCUUAGUGCCCAUGAUAUAAGAUAUGAACCAAGAAC